UGGGCCCCAAGAUCUUUACCGUGAAAAAAUUAGAGUGUUCAAAGCAGGCAGAUCCAAUUUUCUGCCACCGAAUACAUUAGCAUGGGAUAAUGGAAUAGGACCCUGUCCUCCUAUUUUCAGUUGGUUUUGGCAGCGCGAGGACUAGGGUAAUGAUUAAUAGGGAUAGUUGGGGGCAUUAAUAUUUAAUUGUCAGAGGUGAAAUUCUUGGAUUUAUGAAAGAUUAACUUCUGCGAAAGCAUCUGCCAAGGAUGUUUUCAUUAAUCAAGAACGAAAGUUAGGGGAUCGAAGACGAUCAGAUACCGUCGUAGUCUUAACCAUAAACGAUGCCGACCAGCGAUUAGGAGACGUUGAAUACAAAACACCACCAUCGGUGCGGUCGUCCUUGGCGUCGGUCUUCAAAAGCCGGCGCGGGGGUGGCUAGCCCGG
rnacentral:rRNA from 1 species